AUCUGCAUUUGUUCAAAUUACAAUAAAAUUGUGUGUUUUUUCAUUUAGAUACAUUAUUAAGUUAUCCCAGUCGAUCUUCUCAAGUACAAACACUCAACAAACAAAAAGCUUGUUUCAUUUACGCUGUUUCGUACUCCCGCCAACUGGCACGCAUCUGUUGAAAAGAGCAGAAGACCACCGCAUUUCCAGAGGCUGGGUUUAUGAUUGAGUCCACUGAACGUUAAGGAAUUCUGCAGGAUCACACUGAAGCUAUUGCAGUCCACAUUCCUGGGCAAGUUGGAGCAACACACACUCAAGCUGUUGCCUGUACAGGAGGAAGGGUGGAGCCGUUGGGAAGAAACUUGAUGAGACCCUUGACAUGUUAAAUGAGGCAUGUAUUUACAACAGUGUGGUAGUAAUUAGUUGUAUGUAGUAGCUUUCUGAUGUCUGUAAUCUCAUAUUUUAUGUUAAUCUCAUAUUUCUCGUAUUAAUUAGUAAUCUCAUUCCAUAUUUUUGUAGGACGACACAAUUGAGUCGCGAAGAGAAGUUGUGAUCAGAGGACUGGUGAAUACACUGGAGAGUUAAUGAAGGACUACCAGGUUAUUAAUGACGACGAUGCUGCGACCAUCCAAGAAGCUAUUACUACAUUUGCCCUCGGCAUCUUUGUUGUCAGCAAAGCCGGGGAUGGUCUCCCCAAGCAAGCUGGAAUAGCCAUCGAGGGACCUUUUUGGUAUCCCAGAUGUGGCACAUGCUUGCACCUAUCUGAUGGGCCUUAUCUAUGCCUUGGAACUGAGGUACCCUAAUAAACUGAAAUACACGUUUGAGGUCUUUCAGAAGAUCUUCCUAGAGCUAGAGGAUGCAAACCAAAAACUGUCCUCCAAAGUCCAUGAUCUCAAGGUCUGUUUGCAAGCUUAAAAUCUAUACAGAUGGUGUAUACAGUAGAAUGUAUUUUGAU